GCAUGGUCGCUGCGGGAGGCGACCAGCCAUGAGGGGCAACGCUGCGGCAUAACGACCAGCCAGGAGGGGCAACACCGCGGCAUAACUAACACUAGUCACCUUACAGGCUUUGGCAAUGUGUGAAGACCAAAGAGAAAUUCUUUCUUCCUUUGUUCUAAGACAUUAAAAAUGCCAGCCAAAAAUGCUGGCUUAAUGUUUACAUUACUUUCAGCAGAUAGUAUACGGGCUAGAGUGAAUUGAUCAGAUUAGAUUAUCCCUCAUAGAAAAUAAAAUCCCAAAAGAAACACACUCCCCCCCACUCUCCCGAGAUGGUGCGAUUUCAUCUAGAGGGGGAACAAGGAAAGAGCUGGAGAGCUGAAGUAAGCUUCAGAAGGGCCCUUGUCUUGGGAUCCCAUAGAACUAUAUGCAAGGUAACUAGAUACUGUGCUGUGGAGGGCACAGGAGGAGCCAGUUUGGUAUCAACAAAACCAGCUUUGGAUAAUUUAAGAGGAAAACGCACUUACUGGAGGAAAUGAUAGCCGGACAACAUCUGCAGUAGGCAAAGAACAAAGCUGGAGGUGAGACACAGAGCCACAGAAAUAUCAAGUGACUUUCCCAAAGCCUCACAGCUAAUGAGAAGCUGAGAUGUGGAGUCCAGAGCAAUUUCUGCCUGCUCUGUCUCAGAAAGCAAUCUUCCUGAGAGUAAAAGCCACUGUUCAUUUCUCCCAAGGUUGGUCAACACUUGGGAUGAUGAGGUUGCAGUAGAGCCAUUGAGAAGAAAGAAUCACCACUUGCAGCUGACUUACAAGGAUUCCACGACUCAUUAUUGAAUAAGAAUGCAGUUAUGCGGAGAAUGGGUACAAUCGAUCCUAGUUUAAUAAAACACAUGCAG